rnacentral:rRNA from 1 species
CGUGCUUAACACAUGCAAGUCGAACGAGACGAUUGAAAGCUUGCUUUUGAAAGUCGAGUGGCAAACGGGUGAGUAACGCGUAGACAACCUGCCGUAAAGAUGGGGACAACAGUCCGAAAGGACUGCUAAUACCGAAUGUUGUGGAACUUCCGCAUGGGAGCUCUACUAAAGAUGGCCUCUACUUGUAAGCUAUCGCUUUACGAUGGGUCUGCGUCUGAUUAGCUAGUUGGUGGGGUAACGGCCUACCAAGGCGACGAUCAGUAGCCGGUCUGAGAGGAUGAACGGCCACAUUGGAACUGAGACACGGUCCAGACUCCUACGGGAGGCAGCAGUGGGGAAUCUUCCGCAAUGGGCGCAAGCCUGACGGAGCAACGCCGCGUGAGUGAAGAAGGGUUUCGACUCGUAAAGCUCUGUUGUCGGGGACGAAUGUGGAGGUUGUGAAUAACAGCUUCCAAUGACGGUACCUGACGAGGAAGCCACGGCUAACUACGUGCCAGCAGCCGCGGUAAUACGUAGGUGGCGAGCGUUGUCCGGAAUUAUUGGGCGUAAAGGGAGCGCAGGCGGGAGGUCAAGUCUAUCUUAAAAGUGCGGGGCUCAACCCCGUGAGGGGAUGGAAACUGGUCUUCUUGAGUGCAGGAGAGGAAAGCGGAAUUCCUAGUGUAGCGGUGAAAUG